rnacentral:rRNA from 1 species
GUGGGGAAUAUUGCGCAAUGGGCGAAAGCCUGACGCAGCCACGCCGCGUGGGUGAUGAAGGCCUUCGGGUUGUAAAGCCCUGUCGGGAGGGAAGAAGUUCUGACGGUACCUCCCAAGAAAGCACCGGCUAACUCCGUGCCAGCAGCCGCGGUAAUACGGAGGGUGCGAGCGUUGCUCGGAAUCACUGGGCGUAAAGCGUACGCAGGCUGUUUCGUAAGUCGGGUGUGAAAGCCCGGGGCUCAACCCCGGAAUUGCGCCCGAGACUGCGGAGCUUGAAUGCGGGAGAGGGAAGCGGAAUUCCUGGUGUAGAGGUGAAAUUCGUAGAUAUCAGGAGGAACACCGGUGGCGAAAGCGGCUUCCUGGCCCGACAUUGACGCUCAUGUACGAGAGCGUGGGGAGCAAACAGGAUUAGAAACCCUUGUAGUCC